rnacentral:tRNA from 1 species
UCCCUCGUGGCUCAGAGGUAAAGAAUCUGCCUGUGAUGCAGGGGACCCAGGUUCGAUCCCUGGAUCGGGAG